GGGCGAGUAGCCGAAUUGGUAUAGGCGCACGGCUUAGAACCGUGUUCCGCAAGGAAUGUGGGUUCGAAUCCCUCCUCGCCCACCA
rnacentral:tRNA from 1 species